rnacentral:rRNA from 1 species
UUCGUCGGCAGCGUCAGAUGUGUAUAAGAGACAGUUAAAAAGCUCGUAGUUGGACUUCUGGUUUAAUGCACCUGGCCCGCGGCCCACAAGGCCUGUGCUAUAACUGAAGUAAUGAUUGAUAGGGAUAGUUGGGGGGUGCUAGUAUUGGCCGGUCAGAGGUGAAAUUCUUGGAUUCGGUCAGACUAACUUAUGCGAAAGCAUUCACCAAGGAUGUCUUCUUCUGUCUCUUAUACACAUCUCCGAGCCCACGAGACGCUAACUGAUCUCGUAUGCCGUCUUCUGCUUGAAAAAAAAAAAAAAAAAA